CAUCUUACAUACACAGUUUAGUUAUGCACGAUAUAUAUUUAUUGUUUGAUGGAUUAUGGGGUGAGCCAAGGCCCACGUAGGCACCCCCUAUUUCUGUUGUUGCCCUUAGUCAUCAACACAUCCACCAUGAUCACUAAUACACCUCCACGCCAACACCAUCCCACAACCACAUGCCACUCUCGUUAGAUCGCCGGAGCUGCCAUCCUCUUCGUUUUCGCUGGUGUGGUCAUCCUCGUCGGAACCAACCACCACAAAAAUCACCACCGCCCAUGAAAACCCAACCACCAUCUUCGCUUGAGUUGCCAUCUUUGCCAGAGCCAACCACCACAAAACCCACCCCAACCCUUGAAAAAACUAACCCAACACCCAACACACCACCUCAAAUAACCACACCACCCAUAAAUCGACUUUGACCACCAAACCCACCCUUAAAACAAACCCAACCACCCAGAAAAACAUCGAACCCACCCCUAAGACAACCCUAACCAACAAAUCUAAGAGAUAGAGGAGAGAAAAAAAAAUUACCUUGAGGUGAGAGGAAUGAGGGCGCCGGCGAAGGAGAGGUGUCGGGGAUGUCAGGGGGGGAGGGGGACAUUGUGCAAGAGCGGAAGGAGGAGACAUGGUGGUGGUUCUCAUGGAGGUCAGGGAUUCAGGGAAGUAUAGUGUGGUGGGGUGAAUUCUAAUACUUCUAAAACAAACAAGGUACGAAAUUAAACACUUUUGCUCUCCUUUCUCUUUUUUUCCCUUUCUUGAUGUCAUUCCCUUUCCGGACCCCUAAAUGUAUUGGGUUUAGAAAACUAGGAGAGGUAGGUAUGGCUCAUACCUUUACUUCAGAUAUCAAACAAAAGAAAAAAUCUCAUCCCCAAAUCAAAACCAAACAUAUGGAAUUAAGAAUCAAGUUUCAAACUCAUACCACCUUCAUAUCAUUCCCGAUUUCAACCUCAUGUCAGUUUGCGAACCAAACGCCUCCUAAGCUUGUUUGGUAUGGGAGAAUUGGGAUGGGAAUAAGCUGAAUAACCGAAUAAGGGAAUAAGGAAUUGGAUAGAUUUAUUUUAUAUGUCUAUUUUUUUAUUUUAUUUUUGGGGGGAAAUUUGACUUCAACGGUAUCACCUAAAAAAUUGAUAAAUGAUGUUUUAUCACCUUAAAAAAUAGAAAUUUUAUUUUAGCACCUAAAAUUAUUUUUUAACACAUCUUAACGGUAAGAUGAACAGAAACGUUGUGUGGACCUUAUUUCAACAACUACAAUUUGCCCUUGCUUCCCAUUAAUUCACAUCACCGGGUAAUAUUUCUCAAAUUGAUCAAGGAAUAAUUAUUUUUCAUAUUUGCAAAGGAGAAUCAAAUUGUUUUAAGGUAUGCUUUAUGUUUGAUUUGCGUCAAAAAGGGACGUCGCAUAACGUUUAUGUCCUUGCGAUUAAGAGGUGGUAAAAAACAAUUUUUAUUUUAUUUUCAUGUGGUAAAAUACAAUUUCUACUUUUGUUUUAGGUGGUAAAAAAUAAUUUGCCAAAUGUUUUAGGUGUUAAAGGUUAAUUUACCCUUUUUUCUAAUCUUUUAUAAUACGGAGUAGCACACAAAAAUGCGUUACAUCCCUGUUUUUCUUUAAAAACUAAGGAGUGUUUUUGACGGCUUUUUCAUGAAAUGACCAUUACGUUUAACGGAAUGCACGAAACACACUCAACUUUACAGAAAUGCACAAAAUGCCCUUAUGACCUUUUUCCGUCUAUUCAAUUAACUUUUCCGUUAACAUAAACUCUAAUUUUAUUUUUAUUUUCUUUCUCUUUCUCUUUCUCUUUCCCUUUCCCUUUUUUUCUUUUGUCAUUUUCUCCUUCCCGUGUAUUCUUUCUCCUACCUCUUCCACAUCUCCACUAAUAAUGUCAUCUUCUCCACGUCGCUACUACGCCACUACCGUCCAGCUUUGCCACCCCAAUCUCGCCAUUAUCUCACGAGCUUCAUUAAAAGUGCAAAUUUGAUGUUUUAAAGGUUAAAUUCUACCAUAAAGCUCUUGUUCUACUGGUUGAAUUUUCCUAAAAACCUGCACUUCCGAUUAUACUUGUAGUUCGUCAAGAUGUCUAACUUAAGUCGUAAAAAACGAUGGUAUAGUGGGAAGAGAAGACUCAUGUUACUAUUGAUGUAUCAAAUCCUCCUUAUUAAAUACUAAUAUAGAUUUCGUUUUUCAAACUUUUAACCACAUGCCUUCAAUCCCCUAAUCCUCAAGUUAUGUGCAUUCUUUUUUUUUCAAAACUACCAAUUUUCUUUUUAACUUCUCAUAACUUUCUAUAACUUCCAACAUUAUUUUCAUGCACACGUACAUUCUAUGAGUAUUUUGAAUGUGAUUACUAUAGAACCACAAAUGGGGGCCUCUACAAGCAAAGUUCUAAGUGAUAUUGGAUCUUUGAUCGGAAACGUUAUCGCUACUCCAUUUAAAUCCACCUUUGGUCAAUCAUGUCAGACGUGUGUAAUGGAAGAUGGAAAGUUAUUUGUUUUAUCGAGCACAUCUGCAUAUAUAACUGACCUGGUGAAAUUCUCGCUUGCUUGUUGUAUACAUAUUCGUGGAGAGAGACAGGAAGACGGCGAAGAAUGAAGCAAUGUAGGAGUGUAAGGUUGAAGAAAGGGCAAGUGUCUGUUCGUUUGAGAGGCAAGUCGAGGAGGAGGUGGAGGAGGUGGAGGUGAAGGAGGAGAAGGAAUCAACUAACUGAUGAAUGAAGUUCAAAUGUCAAGUUUGAGAAAGAGUAGAAGAAGUAAUACUACCAAGUUUAAGAAGCAAAGGACAAGAUGAUAACAUCUUUGGAUUAUUGUUAAAUUAUCUCAGCCAUUGUGAGAGAGAUGUACUAAAAGUCCAAAAUAUAUUAUAAUAUGUGAAAACUCAAAUUUUAGGUCCGUGUGUGUUCAACAAUACUACGAUAUGUAUCGGUUCUAAAAAGUGAAUCAAAUACUUCCUCAUUCUUAUUUA